GUAGGAUAUGGUGACAUUUAUCCUAAGACUCUGUUAGGUAAAAUCGUAGGAGGACUUUGCUGUAUUGCUGGAGUGCUGGUGAUUGCUCUUCCUAUCCCAAUUAUUGUCAAUAAC
rfam:Gallus gallus isolate RJF #256 breed Red Jungle fowl, inbred line TCD001 chromosome 20, whole genome shotgun sequence.